UAUCUGGGGGCCUCUAUCAGCUUCUAGAACACACAGUUCCGUUCUGUGGUUCUACAUCCUUUGUUUUGUGCUCAAGAAGAGCGAGCAGAAUAGGCUGAAUUAGAGCCAUCUGUUUAUGUAAGCAAGAGGCGUCUGGUGCUCUUUUCCUCUCCCUUCCUCUGAGGCAGAGUCCAGGGCAAAGAGUACCAUCGCAUACGAAAAGUGGUGCUUCCACAAAGAGACGGAUGCUGCUCUGAGACCAAAGCUUAGCUAAAAUACAGAGUGGAGAGAGAAAAGAGAAGAGAAUAAAUGUUGACAUCAUUGGAAACUGCCUCAGGCUGCAGCUAACAUUCCUGGUCCUUCCAUCAUUUGUUUAACCUGUGGAAGUCGGGUUUCUAUCAUUUGCAAAGGUCCUUUUAAACCCGCAGCCCUCAUCAUCUUACGAUGGAGUUGUCACAGAAAAACCAAACAACACAUGAGGCACAUUAUUGGCUUCCACUUUAAUAUAACAAAACCCAGCAAUAUUUUUUUAACAACA
rnacentral:lncRNA from 1 species